GACGAACCGUGCAAACGUUGUUCGGAUUCACUGGGCUUAAAGGGCGCGUAGGCGGGUGGUCAAGUCGGGGGUGAAAUCUUUCAGCUCAACUGGAAAAUAGCUUCCGAUACUGGCCGUCUUGAGGGAGGUAGGGGCAUGUGGAACUUCCGGUGGAGCGGUGAAAUGCGUAGAUAUCGGAAGGAACGCCGGUGGCGAAAGCGACGUGCUGGACCUUUUCUGACGCUGAGGCGCGAAAGCCAGGGGAGCAAACGGG
rnacentral:rRNA from 1 species